AGUACAGACACAACCCCUGUGAUUAGAGGCUGAUCUCCACAUCUGAAUGGGACAGAGAAAGGAGGGACCCGAGACAUAGAUUGACUCCCCCCUCCCCCCCCCGCCCGCCUCUGAGACUUCCAUUGAGGAAAACGGAACAGGAGAAAGGGGUGAAGGAAGAAGAAACAGGACCCCCCCUCCCCGAAUACAAUAAGAGAAGAAAGCGGCAAAGCCUUUGGCAGGAGAAAAGUAUGAUCAUGCCUGAACUGUGUUAGUGCUUUCUCUUCUCUCUCUGUCGGCUUGCUUCUCCCUCUUUCUUUCUCUCUCUUUCUCUUUCUCUGUCUCUCUCUCUUUGUCUCCGAGGUGUUUAACUUUGGGGGAACCUCGGGCUGCUGGAGCUGGAGGCAUUUCUGCUCCGCAAGGGACGAAGCUGGACGAGGCGGCGGCGGCGGCAACGGCGGUAGCAGCGGCGGCAGCAGCAGCAAAGAGGCAGCCACAUGCUCCAAGUGGGGGGUGUUAAAAGUUGAGACCCGAUUCCAGGCGCUGUAGAUCGAAACAGGUUGGUGGGAUCUUUUAACAGUAGCAGCCGCAGCCGCAGCAGCAGCAGCAACAACAACAACCCUCCCCUCCCCCCUCCUCUUAAACUUUCAGUGCUAGUUUAGUUUUUAAUCCAUACAGUAGUUCCUUCCUCUUUCUCUCUACACCCCCCCCCCCAGCCGCGCGCACUCUUCUGCUUUAAAGAGAUAUAUAUACCUUGCAUUGAAUAUUUGCGAUCAGGAACGACUUAAAGUUGAUAAACUGGCCGGUCUGUUGCGCCUGCCCCCCAGGUGUUUUGGAAAAAGCAGGUGUGUAGAGGAGGCUGAGAUUUAUGCUUUGUUGAUUCCCUCCCUUCUCCCUCACCCCCCUUUCCCGUAUCCUUCCUUACUCUCUUUCUCCCUCUGAGAUUGCAACCUCAAGGAUGUUAGGGUGUGUAUGUGGAAAAUAUAUAUAUAGAAAAACUACUUGGCGAAGGCAGCCUCCUCUCGGUUUAAUUUAUCAGUGCCUUUUAGUAAAAGAGACGCGUGAAAGUUCGGGGUACCCAGAAAACGGAGCACUCCAGACAAAGAGAGGUGCUGGUGGAAAUAACUUUUCAGCUGGGAUUUACAGAGGGUGGCAUGGAAACCAAAGGAAUCGGAUAUGUGAGACUAGUUGGGGUGUUGGAAAGCUUUUUUCUUUGUUCAUGGGGGGAGUUGUGAGGAUGGGAGGCAGGGAUAAGAGGUUCUUGCUUAUAGGGAAAAAUGAAGGAAGGAGCAUGCAGUGAGUGGAUUUUUAUUUUUUUUUUGUUCCUCUGUUUUGUGAAUGUGAAGAGGGGUGGGGAGUAGAUGUUGCAAAACCGCUUUGGGGUUUCUGCAGAUCAAUCAGUCCUGUAAGUGUGUCUUUGAAUUACAAUUUAUUGUGAUUGACAGGAUGGAUAGGCUCAAAGGCACUCACAUUUAUGGUCUUCUUGAGUACACAUUUAGAGUGGGGGUGAGAUCCUGAAUUGGGAUAGCAGAAUUUCUUGUCUUCCCCACUCUGAAAUAACUUUUUCCUGGCAAACAAGUUGGCAACGGAUAGGAAAGUUUUUUGUCUAGCGAAAAGAUCGGCUCUCUGGCUUAGGUCUAUUCUUUAGGGUAAUAAAACUUUGAGGUGGUAGAGAUGCUAGAAAAAUAUUUCAUAAAUCCUGAAUUCCCCUUACUUCUUACUGGUUUUUAUACAGUGGCUGAAAUUUAAAUUUGCUUUAUUCUAAAUAACAAGACUAAAAAAAAACUUUUAAUGGCUCUUUAAAUUAUUAUUUCCUGCUGGGAAGGUAGCAAUAAAUAUACUCUGUUGUUACAGUAGUUCACUUCAUCAUCUACAUUCUUAAAUGAGCUUGAUCUUCCUCGUUUUAUAUAUUUCUUAAAUGCACAAAACGUAUUUAUUGCUGUCAGGUAAUGUUUUUGGCCCAAUCAGUCUUUCAGUCUGUCUCCUCAGCUUCUUGUCGGUUUGUCUUCUACUCCCACCUUUAAAUGCCACCUCUGAAUUAGAAAUGUUUCUAAUAUCCCUUAGAGCAGCAAACUUGAACUAAAAUUAGCAAAGAAAUGAUCGUAUACAUUGUUCACUAUAAUACAAUGUGAUGCCAUCCCAGUGCUCCCUAAAAAAAGGGGGGAGAACCUAUAUAAAUUUUUAUAUAACCUAUAUAAAAGUGGGAAAGGUGCAAAUAUAUAUAAUUUCAAUGCCAUGGUGAUUGAAACUUGAAAGGGGAAAAUUUAUAUUCAGACUUAGGAGCUUAGAAGUGAUGUUCUCGGUUUAUCUGUAUAGGUUUCUCCUAACUGAGAACUUUUUAAAAGCACAAAUCUUAAAAAACAACCUAAAACAUCAACAUAUUUUUUUAAAAAGGAGCUCAAUAGAUAUUUUGCUGUGAUUGUGAGUUGGGACUGGGUCUUCUAGUAGGUGUAUCAUAGUUUUGUGAGCAUUAGUCGGUCAUUAAGAGAAAGGGAGCAAAUUCAUUACCAGCCUUUCUUGGGCAGCUGAGAAGUUUCAAGUAAAAUUUAUUUUAAAUCUUGUAGUUGACAUGGGUCUGUGAAGAUAAUGCUCAAUUUCUAUCAUCGUUUUCAUCACCAUUGACACACAGCAGAAUAAUUAAUAAAGUUACGGAUCUUGGUUGUUUUAUAAAUUUUCAUAAGUGAUAAAGUUCUGAAUGCUACGUAACGCAGAUGAGUUCAAAUAUGGGGGGAGUGUUAAAAAUGGUUUUAUUUUGGCAGACCAUUUUUUUGGUAUGUGAUCUGAAACAAAAACUCCCAUUGAAUUUGGUAUUUAAAAAAUGAAAUCAUUUCAUCAUCUCUUCUCAAGUUCAAAAUAAACUUCGAAUGGAUGAGAAUAGGUAUACUAAUUCAUUAGAGACACUUAGACUCUAAAAGAUCUUUUGAAGCGCAGUAUUACAAGGAAUGCAUUUGACAAACUCAUAGUGAGAUUUGUCUCUUCUUAAUUUAGCCCUAAGGAAUUUCACUACAGAUCCCAUUCCAGGGACCAUUGCUGACUUCAAUCAAGUGCUCAGUCCGAAAUACUGUUUCUUUGGAGACAAAAAUUUACUCCAGUUUUUAGCAAUGGCUUAUAACUUCAGUUUAAUGCUUUCAGAAAAGCUGUGGGGUGUACAAUAAAAAAGAAUUAUUACAUUGUGUUAAAAGGUGGGUAUAAUCAACAACAGAAAUAGUAUAGUAUUCUACAGAUAUAUUACUACAUGUUAAAACAUUUACACAAGAAGGGGCUUGUGUUGCUCACAGGCCAUUUUCUGUCAAAUUGUCACAGUGUGUUACUUCCUUAGGCACUGGGCCCUGUGAGUUGUGUAUGCUGCCUGCAGUAGCAUCCAGGAUCCUAAACCAUUUUUACACAUAUUUAACAUUGCUUAAUUUCUGUUAAUUGUACUUUAAACUGAGAGCAUAUAUUGCAGGUGAGUGAUGCUUGUAUAACAUGAUUUAAAAUAUUUAACCCCCUUCCCCUCUCAAGUUUUUAAAAAAACCCAGUCAGAUUUAAACUAAGAAAGAUGGUCAGAACCAGAUUCAUAAUUUUUUGUGCAAACCAGGUCCGGUGGGGUGUGUGUGUGUCAGUUGGUUCUGAUUCCAAAUCUUUGUUCCUUUAUUUUCUCCCCCUCAGAAAUGGGUGCACAUUGAAGUGGAGUAAAUUGCUGAGCCCCUGUGUUUCCUGUAUUUUGAAUUGAUUUUAUAUAAAGUUCUUGGAAGUUUAAACAAAUCUUCAAAACUUAAUGCUUAUGCGUAUGUGCAUAGAAUGUAAACAUCUAAAUUUUGAGUGGGGAGAACAUCUAUUUAGUUACAAUUGAUGCAAGUGAUUAGUUAUAUUUUAAAACUACAAACAUAAUGAAAAGGAAAAAUGUUUCUCUAGUAAAGUGCUAUCUUAUAUGAUUAAUUUGAGUAUUUUGGCAUGGAAAUAUAUGAUCAAAAACCUUCUCUCCCAUCCAUUUUUGAAUUCUUUUAAAGCAAAGAUUAAAAGGGGUGGGGAGUACUCCAGUCCCACAGGCACUAAGCACUGGUGUUAGGCAAAAACCUUCUUGCAGAGUAAGAUACAUACAGUAGGCUGCCUUUUCACAGCUCCAUUGUGUAAUAUUGUAAGGAAAGCUGGGUAAAUAGGCAUGGAAUUUCUUUCUUCCCGGACUGGUAACUUUCUAGACCAUGAAGUCGUCAAGUUCAUCUGAUACUCUAAUGUCACAGUUUAGGAUUAUAAUAAGAAAAGUUUUUUUGUUUGCAUGUAGGACUAAAGGAUGUAAUAAUUGAGAAAAUAAUUUGGAGUGAAUAGUUCAUUCAAUUUACACUGCAUAUUUUCUUCUUAUAUUAACAUUUUGAUUGCUCUUUUAUUUAUUAAGAGUACAAUCAAUAAUAGCAAAAAAUCUGGUGGAUCUCUAAUUCAGAUUCUCUUUAUAGAAAGGAGGGUUUCUUUAAGAAGAAAGGGGGGAAAUCUAUAAAACAAAGAGCAAAUAAAAUAACCACUUCAGGCGCUUUCUCUUUUUCUUUUCUAAUAACCAAGCCGGGAACUAUGUGCAGUCAGUUGUGAAGUUUUUGCCCAAAGAAGCCUAAGAGCUUUUCUUUUCUCAUGGCAGAGGGGUUGCUUUUGAAUCUGAUAAUGUUUGUGUGUGUCUCGCUGUGGGGCUGAAAUGGGGAAGGGAGGGGGUGAUGGCUGAAAUGUUUCUGUUGCAUGUGGGGGGAGAUCGAAGUUGGAGGAAGAAAAGAUACUGUUGUGUUUUGCUUUUUAAAGUGACAUACAGUGCAAUUCACCCAGAAAUAAAUCUCACUAAGUUCAAUGGGACUUACUUCCAAGUAACCAUGGUUAGGACUGCUGUGAUAAAGUGUGUGCCUGUGUGAGAACUGGGGAGAGUUAGAAUUCUGAACCCCCACCUUAAAACUAGAGGGGGAAGAGAUGGAUCUCACAGAAAAGAUGAGCAUAUAUGUGUUCCCCUUCCCUUAGAAUGUAAAUUUUAUAGCUUGGCACCAUUUAGUAAAGAGCUUUCCACCUCCGCUUUGCACUUCCAAUCAGUGAUUUUCCCUGAAAGUUGAAGCGGGGAGAGAAGUCAUUUGUUCACCAAAGUCCUUCUUUACUGGUAGCAGGUGUUUGUUUCUAGAAAAGGCAUUCACUCUAAAAAAAGGUUAGGGGAUAACAUCAUAUAAAGCUACUCAUCUGUGCCCUGUGCUUCAGGAAGACAACAUAUUGUUACACAGGUUCUUGGCACUGAGAUCCUGCAAGAAAUUCGUUAUCAGCCGUUAUAAUCAAACUCUGCUUGUGUAUGGUUUGGCCUUCAGGGUAGAAAAAGGCUCUCUUAUUGCUUCCUUAUGGAGGAACUUGCUUUUGCCUGCAAAAAUAUAUUGUUUUAUCCCAGUUGUCUUAAGAGAGGGCAAUAAAAGAUCUUUAACAUGAUUUAAAGACAACAACUUCAAAACAAGUCCCACUGAUGCCCGUUUUGAUUUAAUUAUUUUCAAUUUGGCAUUGUUGUGCUGUUGCAUAGAACAGGAUGCCACCUUUCAAUCUUGGCUAAUUCACUUGCCUCCAGGGCUGAGUGAUUUCCUCCUUACACUGGGAGUAAUUGCCACAUGGCAAGUUAAAACACACCUUCAGAAUUGUUGUUGAUAGGAAAAGAGUGAUGACUUAAAUUAUAUGAGGGAAAUCUGUACCUGGGAGGUGUGUGAUAGGAGAUAUGAUUAACAAAAUAAUAAAUUUUCAAAUUUUGAAUGCAGUUUUACUAUUAUAUCAACUUGGAAAUUGGCAUCCGUGCCACAAACUUAGAUUUCAUUCACUUCCAUUUGUUGAUUUGUUCUGUUAAUUUUUCUGGCUUUGGAUCAAAUAGACACAUUAAUACAUUUCUCUAUUAAUUCAUUGUGCUGCUUUGUCUCAGAAGCUCCUUCACUGGUCAUAAACAUUUUUUUCUUGGUAGUCGAGAGGGAGGCUUUUGAAAUGUUUGUUUUGUUUUUAAGUUAAAAAUACUAUUUUCACAUUUGACUUUGUUCUUCUAACCACACUGGAGUUUCAGUUCUAGUGUGUGCAGUUUGCACAUGGAAUUUAAAACAGUUUUUGUUUUCUUUGAAAAAUCUGCUUGUCUUACGUGAAAAGGGUUUUGAAGCAAUACAGGGGGGAAUGCAGUAGAUAGAACAUUUCCAGAAUUCAGUUUCAAUUUGUCUUAUAACAGUGUAUAUAUGUGUGCGCACGUUUAAACUGAUGGUUCAGUUGAUUAUUGAAUUUCUAUCCGUUAAUAUAUUUUCCACAGAGAUCCUGAUUUUAGGAAAGGGUUAAAAAGCUGAACUAGGAUGGAGGAUAUAUUAAAAAGUACAAGUGCACUUGCACAUUUGUAUACAUAAGGUAAUUUAAGCCAAGAUCCAUAGUGUGGGGAUUCAUUGGGAAAACCUGGAGUCUCGUUUUGUUUUAUAAAAACCCUGCUGUGUCUGGUGAACAGAGGUUGUCUGUAUAGAGGACGGUUAUUGAAAACUUUUCAAUGUAAGUAUCUCAUCAGGUCAGUAGAGUUUCCUGGACAAGGUGUUAGUUAGCAUUGUGAAUCUGACUCUUUCAAAUUCACUAUUGCACAUCGUUCUCUACUGACUUGGUCUUCAUGGCAAUAUCAGCAUUUGUUAUCUGCUAGCCUGCACAUGUUACCCAACCUCCAUGUCCUUGCAAAGAGACAGAAUCUGAUCAAUUCACUGCCCGCUUACCUGAAACACUUCCAUCCGUUUCAGGACUUUCAACAACAAAUGGAUCAGUAGACGAGGAUUUCUGCCACCCAUUAAGGGUUGUUGUGUAUCCUGGCAUUCUGGAUGGAGUAUUACGUUAACUGCAUGCAAACUUCAUAAAAGCACACUAUAAAAAUUCUAAGUAUCGAU